CCUACGGGGCGCAGCAGUGAGGAAUAUUGGUCAAUGGGCGGGAGCCUGAACCAGCCAAGUCGCGUGAGGGAAGACGGUCCUAUGGAUUGUAAACCUCUUUUGUCGGGGAGCAAAGAGACCGCGUGUGGUCAAAAGCGAGAGUACCCGAAGAAAAAGCAUCGGCUAACUCCGUGCCAGCAGCCGCGGUAAUACGGAGGAUGCGAGCGUUAUCCGGAUUUAUUGGGUUUAAAGGGUGCGUAGGCGGGACGGUAAGUCAGCGGUAAAAAUGCGGAGCUCAACUCCGUCGAGCCGUUGAGACUGUCGUU
rnacentral:rRNA from 1 species